rnacentral:rRNA from 1 species
GGACCUGGAUAACCUCGGGAAACUGANAAUAAACCACGAUAGAUCAUAGUGCCUGGAAUGGCUUAUGGUCCAAACAGUUUACUGCCAUGGGAUGGGACUGCGGCCUAUCAGCUUGUUGGUGAGGUAAUGGCCCACCAAGGCGAUUACAGGUACGGGCUCUGAGAGGAGAAGCCCGGAGAUGGGUACUGAGACACGGACCCAGGCCCUAUGGGGCGCAGCAGGCGAGAAACCUUAGCAAUGUGCGAAAGCACGACUGGGUCAGUCCGAGUGAUUCCUGAUAAAGGAGUCUUUUGCUUGUCCUAAAAGCACAGGUGAAUAAGGGGUGGGCAAGUCUGGUGUCAGCCGCCGCGGUAAUACCAGCACCUCGAGUGGUCAGGACGUUUUAUUGGGCCUAAAGCAUCCGUAGCCGGCUUUGCAAGUCUUCGUUAAAUCCACCUGCUCAACAGAUGGGCCGCUCGAGAUACUACANANCUAGGGAAGUGGGAGAGGCAGACNGGUAUUCACUGGGUAGGGGUAAAAUCCUCUGAUCCAUUUGAGGACCACCCAGUGGC